CCCAUUGCGGAGCACAGGCUCUGGAUGCGCAGGCUCAGCGGCCAUGGCUCACGGGCCCAGCCGCUCCGCGGCACGUGGGAUCUUCCCGGACCGGGGCACAAACCCAUGUCCCCUGCAUCGGCAGGCGGACUCUCAACCACUGCGCCACCAGACCCAGACUCUCUGCACCAAGCACUAUCGUGCUUCCCUUUUCUGUGCCAGUCUUCUGUAGGUUCAUAUA